CCUACGGGUGGCAGCAGUAGGGAAUCUUGCGCAAUGGGGGAAACCCUGACGCAGCAACACCGCGUGAAUGUUAAGCCCUUCGGGGUGUAAAGCUCUGUCAAUAGGGACGAAUUUUGACUGUACCUAUUAAGUAAGCACCGGCUAACUCCGUGCCAGCAGCCGCGGUCAUACGGGGGGUGCAAGCGUUGUCCGGAAUCAUUGGGCGUAAAGCGUUCGAUGGCGGAAUAUAAAGUGUGAUGUUAAAGCCCGGGGCUAAACACCGGCACGGCAUUGGAUACUGGCAAACUAGAAUGUGGUAGAGGUAAAGGGAAGUCCUGGUGUAGGGGUGAAAUGCGUAGAUAUCAGGAGGAACAUCAGUGGCGAAAGCGCUUUACUGGAACAGUAUUGACGCUGAGGAACGAAAGCCAGGGGAGCAAAUGGGAUUAGAUACCCUAGUAGUC
rnacentral:rRNA from 1 species